rnacentral:tmRNA from 1 species
ACGCUUUUUUUCGUAAGGAUUGCAUCUUAUAUUCGGGGUGCUGGCUCUGCCAGCUAUGGCGAUAAACGCGGUCGUAAUAAGCCGAUCGGACCCGGGGGCGGUA